rnacentral:rRNA from 1 species
UACAGAGGUCUCAAGCGUUGUUCGGAUUCAUUGGGCGUAAAGGGUGUGUAGGUGGCGCCGUAAGUCGGGUGUGAAAUUUCGGAGCUUAACUCCGAAACUGCAUUCGAUACUGCGGUGCUUGAGGACUGGAGAGGAGACUGGAAUUCAUGGUGUAGCAGUGAAAUGCGUAGAUAUCGGGAGGAACACCAGUGGCGAAGGCGACUACCUGGCCUGUUUCUUGACGCUGAGGCGCGAAAGCUAGGGGAGCAAACGGG